UUUUUUUUUUUUUUUUUUUUUUUUUUUUUUCAGAAAACCAGGAGAACUAGCAAUGCCUGUAUGCUGAUUGUUUGGGUAAGGAGUGAAAUGAUAACUGUGAAAUGCAGUAGCAUCGUUACCUAUACAGCAAUGGAAGUCCUGGAGAAUGAAUGAACUCAAAAAGAAGAACAGCUGCCUGAGGCACCAAUGCAGGUAUGUGACACACUAUUUAAGGAGAGAUUUUUCAAGAAUAGGAAUGUUGGACAAAAUUAGGGGUUGGAAUGAUAACUGUUAUAUGAACCCUCUUGACUGAGCAUACUUCUCAGAGGCUUGAAUACAAUUAACCAUGCAAGAAAGGCCAUGUCCUUCUAGUUUGAAAAACACACUUCAGAGUAAUAAUAAUUAUAUACUUGGUGCCUAUUUAUUACACUACAUAGUUUCUCAGAAAUUAUAAUAGCAACUAAUAAUUUACAAAAUAGAAACUUCCAAUAAUAUGCUACCCAGAAAUUCCUGUAGAAAGCCCAUUCAUCCUAAAAUGACAGUUUGUUAUGGAAACAAGUGUUUUUACUUGUUUACAUUAUGCCUGAAAUGUACAGGGUAAAUGACAUACCUUACAGCAACACUAAAAAUUAAUCUAGCACUUCAAGAAACUGUGGUGAAAGUUCUUGUGCUGCUAAUAUUUUUUUUCAUAUCUAACUGUAAACAUAGGUGCUAGAGGAUGGAUGAUCAUUCAAUAUUAAAGAACAUACUGACCUCUGAAUGCAUCCUUAGCAUAAUUUUCUCUUGUCUAAGAUAUCAUCCUUCCUAUCUUGAACUAGGAGAGACUCAUCCAUGCUCAGGGAUCUGAUAUCAGUGUUGCUGGCAAGAACAAUUUUUAUGCUAGAAAAAAAUACAUUCUCAUUUCAGAUUACAUCUGAUUAUUGUUAAAUUUCUACCUUCAUAUAGGUUCACUUUAAUAUCAACUCAGGCCAGUCAGCAGAACCAUUGCCUUUUUGUAAUUAUUCACAUCUUUAUGUGUGUGUUGAUUUUUUUUGGUUAAAGGUCUGUAUUUUGUAUUAUCACUUUUCUUGAACAUAACUAAAAUCAUAUAUCCUGCAGUGAUUUUAAAGGCCAAACUCAAUGGAAAUAUUCAAUUUUGAACACUUAAAAGAUUAGGAUUGGAGUUUGUUUGCCCAGAUUGUCGAAAAGUACCAUUCAUUUAUUCUGUAUGCAGUAUGAAUUCAAUAGUGUCCAUACAAAGACCACGCAGUCAUUAAAUAUUUGAUAAAGAUUAUCAAGUGACUUCACAAAAGCAGUCAUAAUACUUCAGACCACUGGACCCCAUAAAACAACAUUUUGUCUGCAUCAGUGGCCACAGGCAGAUGCCUAGGGAAGAGUACAAACAGGACCAGCAGAUGUUACUUUUUACCCAAAUAUCUUUCCAAACGCCAACCAUUUUCUCAGGGAAUUUCUUAAUAGCAUUUUGCAAGUACAUAGACCUUAGUAAAUUAGAGCAAGGGGCACUGCUGCCCUGCCGCUCCAAGUUAGGAAAAGAAGAAUAUGGGGAAGCUUGGGUGCACAGAGGAACUGUCAGACUGCGGAGAAAUAGUCUGAGACUGGAUGCUGCAACUGUCCAGUCCACCAUUAUGGCUCUGCUUCAAAAAAUAAAUUCCCAUUGGUCAAAAAAGCUGAGUAAAUAAGAUCUAGAAACGUCAGUGUAUUUAUGACAUUGUUUUCUUCUGAUGUGUAGUACAUGUGCAUAAGUAUUUGCCCUCGUUUUUCUAUUUUUUGUUUCAUUUUCUAUUUUUCUUGUUUCAUAACCUAGACCCAACUCAGAUUCACAAUUCAAUCUUCAUUCUGAUCCUUCCCUGCUUCUCCUGUGGUCUGACCAUUAAGUUUGUGAAGAAAGAUCCUAGGUUAGCAUGCCAGCAUCUGGGUCCAAACAUAUAGACUUCCAGUGAAGACAGACCAGACAGUAACUAUUCUGCUUUCCAGUCCAGUGACUAGGAGAAUGUGACUCUGAAUUUGCCCUGAGCACAUCUUAGAGAGGAGCCUCCGGAUGCUGUUUUCCAUUUUAUUAGAGUCCCUUGCUGCUGGAAGUGUAGCUGACCAACAAAAGGCCGCAGAGUCUGCUGAGACCACACCAACAAAGGACCAGGUCAAUCUCUUUAUGGCUGGCAUGUGAACCAAAAACUGAGACUGAGUCAUAGUACCAUGUACCAACAUAAUGAACCAGUGAGGAUGUCAGCAAACUGGACAGUGACUUUAGGGACAGCUGCUAUAGUCACUAUAUAUAGCUGGUAGCAGCAAGGAUAGCAGAAGUGUAUCUCUAAUGGGUUUUGCAGCAUUUAUAAGUCCCAUCAACAUUCUCUAAAAUCCAGGGAGGCCUCUUUUCUGGUGGCUCAUCUCAUCAAGCUCCUUACAGACAGUGACAAUCUGGAGGCUUUUAAUAACUGACAUUAUUUACUGGUUACUUAAUGGCGUAGAUGCUGAGGGUGAUGUUUUCUGGUGGAAAAGUGAUAGUAUAAAUAAAAUGCAUCUAAGGCAGAUGGCUUCAAAAUCACACAAGGAAUAAAUAUGAUCAAUGUUGCAGUUGCACUCCUCAGCUAUGAAACUCAGGGAAAAUAAAUUACAAGAGACAUUUUGCUGCCACUCAGCCUCCUUUUGAAUGUUUUGCCAUGCUGCAGUGGCAUGCGGCAGUAUGGUGUGAUGCAAACACAGCAGCUUGCUGUCCAGAGCAGUUUCCAGCCUUUCUAUCUACAGAUCUCAGGCACAUAUCCCAAGCUGCCUGAUCUCAGAUUGCUUGGACCUUGUCUGCCACACAAGCUGUCCUUGCUUUACUCUCUGUUUAAGUCACUAUAUUCCCCUCUCAAUUCCUAUUAUGGACUUUUCCAGUCCAGCCUCUCAGCACCCACUCUAAUCUAAUCUUAAUGACUACUGUCAGCCUAUGCAAUCCCACUCUCUGAGUCUUGCUUGAGGGCCUGAACACUAACACAGAACAUGUGGGAGAUAUCAGGGCUCUCUCACCCAUUGCCAGCCUGGGGGACUCAGUUCCAAACUGCCUGGGUGGGCUCAUCAGUGAAGCCUUGAUUGGAAUUAAGGACCUCUAGAUAAAACAGUUUUAGACAACUGGCAUAAAGGAGAUGAGUUAAGUUGCUUAAGUUAGAUGUUUAGGCUGGCAGUCACAAGUUAGGGAGGUCUCCAGUUGAGUGGACUGAACAGCACUGGGCAUUAGAAACCCUGCCUAGGGGAGAGGGAAUAAAUUGUGGUGUUCUGCUGAGCUAGGUACCUGAUGACAAGGAUGUCGGAUUAGCACUAAUAAGGUCUGAACUAGACCACAUUUCCUUGUUUGUGUAUGCUGAGAUACACAACACAGCCCAACCUUACUAAAGUCAAAUGAUUUCACUGCUGAUUUAUUCACUUCCAGUGCAGGCUAGUGCGCUGCCAGUGAAUGCUUGCCAUGGUGUGUUUAGACAAGCCCAUAUUGCAUGCUUCUUAGCACCUCAUCUUUUAGGUGUAUACAGUUUGAUGAAACAAAUAUGAUACGCCUUUUUACUUUCUAGAAUAUCACAUUCCUCUUUUGUGCUCUUCUCAUGAUAGUUGAAUAGAAUUGAAUCAGCACGCACUUCACAGUUCCAGCAGUGUCUUGUUUACCAUUUUUAAAUAUGUGGCUGACUUCAAAAUUACACAAAAUCUGAUUAGUACCAAUUCUCUGAAUUUUCAUAUCAGCAGAUAGAUAAGUCACUCCAAAAAUGAAGUGACUUACUUUUUUUACAGUUGUAUUAAAUCUGCUUCAAAUGCUGGACCCCUUGCAUAAAAUGGAUAUAAGGCAACUUAACAAUUAAUAACUCUACUUUUAUUUCAUAAUUAACUGAACAGUUCCCUUUAAUAAGUACCUUAGCUUGGAAUUUGCAGAGAUACAGAUCACAGCAAAACAUCAAAAUCUUGGGAUGCUCACUGUGAUUUAUUGAGAGUGAAAAAGCCAUAUAUAACUGAUAUCACUCUAUGCAACACGUUAUCAUUAUCUCUGAAAUGCUCCAGUGAACUUUUUGAACAAACCAAACGAAAAAAGAGACCUGAAAACUUGUUCAAAAGUAUGGAGUUUCCUUGCUCAGACACAGUUAAUAAAAAAAUUCCCUUUUGGUACAUGCGAACCAGGGUUUUGUGCUCUAGUUAUGGACUAUCUUUGUCGGUGUAGAUGAAAGGAUUUUUAAAUUGUUUUUCUUGUCUUUCAAAACAACUUUGUUGCCAGUCAGAUAUUUACAGUACAAGUUCAGAGCAACAGUUUUGUUAUUAAAGUGGUGGAAAAUAAACCAAUGAAAACAUUAAAGUAUAAGGAAAUGUAACCAAAACCUUUUAUUAACUUAGCCAGAAAAAAGGCCACAUAAAAAUAUCUUAAUUUAAAAAAUAUAUCUUUUUUUUUUUUUUAAACUAGGCUCAGAUGUUUACUGAUUAUUCAGUCCAAAUAUGAGUUGCAUGUGCAAUUUGAUUGACGAAACACCCAAACAUGGCCCACAGCUUUGCCUGCUCUGACCACACGACAAUUAUUUGGAAGGAGAUCCAGCCAUCCAAAGCAAUCUCUUUCCACCCAGGGAUUUUCCCAUCCAGAUCUGCUGGGUGACAGUGUUGCUGGCCACUGGUGUUUAGCAAGGGAUGAUUCCCAGCUCUGAAAGCACUGCUUUCUUCCUCUGUCAAGGGGGAAAGCCGCACAAAGCUAAGCUGUUUCACUUUGCCUUGGGACAGAGUUGCAAUCCUCAUAUAUCCCAGCAGUGAUUUCAGCUCAAAAGUGAGGUCAGGUGGUCAGGUUUUGUCACUUCCUGAAUGAACUCAAACUCUGCUGGGGAUCUGAUUUAAACAGUAAAGAAAAAAAGGAAAAAAAACACCAAACCAACAAAAAAGCAAUUAUGGGGUGUGGGGGAAGGGAGAGGGGAGAGGGGAGCACAUAAAAAAAAAAAAAAAAAAAAAAAAGGGAGAAAAAAGGAAAAAUGGAAACAAAGGGAAAAGUGGCAA
ensembl:lncRNA